GAUGAACGCUGGCGGCGUGCCUAACACAUGCAAGUCGAGCGAACAGACGAGGAGCUUGCUCCUCUGACGUUAGCGGCGGACGGGUGAGUAACACGUGGAUAACCUACCUAUAAGACUGGGAUAACUUCGGGAAACCGGAUCUAAUACCGGAUAAUAUAUUGAACCGCAUGGUUCAAUAGUGAAAUACGGUUUUUCUGUCACUUAUAGACGGAUCCGCGCCGCAUUAGCUAGUUGGUAAGGUAACGGCUUACCAAGGCAACGAUGCGUAGCCGACCUGAGAGGGUGGUCGGCCACACUGGAACUGAGACACGGUCCAGACUCCUACGGGAGGCAGCAGUAGGGAAUCUUCCGCAAUGGGCGAAAGCCUGACGGAGCAACGCCGCGUGAGUGAUGAAGGUCUUCGGAUCGUAAAGCUCUGUUAUUAGGGGAGAACAAAUGUGUAAGUAACUAUGCACGUAUUGACGGUACCUACUCAGAAAGCCACGGCUAACUACGUG
rnacentral:rRNA from 1 species